GGCGCAUCCGUUCUUGGAAGACCAGGAGACCAGGGCAUUGCAGCGCCUCACAGUCCAGGGCAAAAUAACAUACCAGAUAUAAAAUGAAGGACUUCGACGAGUUAAUGACCUUGGUUGGGAGUCACGGACCUUACCAACGGUGGCUUGUGUUUGGGGUCGUCGGACCCAUCAGUUUCUUCAUUGGCUUCACGGGCAACCUCUUGUUGUUUCAGCUGAAAGUGCCAGACUACUGGCGCCACGUCCCAGGCAUUGAAAAUACUUCUCUCUUACCAGAAGAAUGGAAAAACCUUACUAU